UUUAUUUAUUAUCGUUAUUAUUUGUUGUGUUAAAAUUUGAUGAAGGACAGCCUGAUGGAAAGUGAAAACCGUUGCUUCAUUAUUUACAGGAUCUGUUUUUGACAUUUGCACUCAGUUAUUGCUUGAUUAGUAAGCUGAAAUAUUUUGUUUAAUCUUUGCAUUUUCUUGGUUAGUCGAAAAUUGUAUGUCCUAAGAUGGGACUUGGGAGUGACAUUGCGCUGCUACGUUUCUUCUGACACUAUUCUAGCAAAACAAAAUAACCAUUGUUUAAUCUAAUUUCUCAUUUGGGCCUCCUAUAUUUUAAGUACUUGUAAAACCUGAAUGAUGAUAACUUUAUCUGAUGGCCAUGCCUGCCUGUCUUCAAAAUUUUAGAUGUUUAUCUGAUGGCCAUGCACUCAGGGGCGGAUCCAGCACUGGGUAAAGACACCGUGGAUAAUGAGUAUCAACCGCCACUCAAUUUCACAAUAGGUGACACUAUUGUUUGGCAUUCUUCAAAACUAGCGCGCACGUUUCCCGAAAAAAGAAUCUCGCAUGCAUGAAGUACUAAAUGAAGUCUAUUUGUAAAACCUUUUUAGGGAUGGGUGUAACUUUUCGCGACGAAUCUAAUGACGGUAAUUAAUCGAUAAUUGGCUACAGUGAUGCUACAGUUACCAUCCUCUAAUCAUGCGGUCAAAGGCCUUAUUAGAUUCUUCAGGGUCACUAGCACGGGGGUUCUAGAGUUGGUUUUGUAAACUGAUUUUGUUUGACACCGUAAUGAGCGGUCAAAAUGGCACUAUUCAUUAGCACGCUAAAAUCCUAGCGCGAACCAAACAAGGCCUAUGUAGCAUGUGAAGCUCUGUAAUUCCGCAAUAAAGUAUUAGCUUAUCUGGUGGCAAUUCUAGCAAAUUAUAAAUCACAGGCAUCUACAUAUUCCAGCAUGACUAUUUAAAUUUCUAUGACUAAUCUCUAUGUCUAAUUCAUUAUCUUUGUAUAUGUCAGCUAGCUGCACACUCAUCUCAUCCAAACUUCAAAAAGUGGAAACAUUUUGUUUUGUAGUCGGUACAAGUUCUGAUAGAGUUGUGAUGGAAUUUCUGCUUCGCUUCAAGAUGAUAGAAACACAAAGAGGCCACAGAUUGAGUCAGAAACAAUACAAUUGCUCGAGCAAGAAAGAGUUUCUGCUGAUGUCAAUGGUGCUCUUUGUUGCUGUGCACAAUCACUACAAGAGGAUAUACAAGCCAAUUCGGAGACUCGCCGCUCGACCUCGCCGCUGUCGCCGACUCCGGGUUCUUCGACGGGCCCGUGCUUCCACCAGGAGACGCUCAACAUGUUCUCGGGGAUGGGCCGGUCGGUGUGGAAGGAGGCAUGCGCCACGCUCCAGAAUAUUCUAUCAGCUGCUGAGCCAGUCUUGCCUGACAACAAGGCCCUCAGGAACAAGUGUUUCGUUCCAAUGAGUGAUAUAGAGAUGGUCCAGCCAAUCAUUGUUGGAGGCUACACAGACUUCUUUUGUUCCGUGCGUGAUGGCAGGAAUUGCGGGUUUAUCUUCUGUCGGUUUGUUCACUUCUCUGAAAGAUCAAGCCACUGAAAAGCAGUUAAUUGCACUGAAAAAUAUGAAACAGAUGGUAAGCUUCCCUCACUGUUAUGAAGCUUAGUAAUAUACAGUAAGAAAGUUCAGCUCUUGAAGCUUAGUGUUUUGCAUUUAACUCUGCACCGUAUGUCAAAUAAACCCUUUUAGGUAUAUGGUAUGAGACAAAAUGUGAAGGUGCUUUCUCAAAAGCUGACAAUUAAAACUGAGGAUAGCUUGGACUUUUGAACUUGUCAUAGAUUACCAUUUGGAAAAACAAUAAUAGACAUUGCUUGAUUCAAGUGUGAAAUUGGGUAUGCAGCAUUGAGUUGUUAACAGUUGAAAUGCUGAUUAAUAUAAGCGAGAAAUUUUUAUGGCCUUCUUAGGGUGCUUAUUUCUAUUUUUUUUGGGAUGGCUAAUUAUUGUUGAAAAGAAAUAUAAGCUUCAUGUUAUCUCAGAAUUCAGAUGUCAAGCAAAGUUCAAUUCAUGCUCUAUUUUGUUUAAUGAUUUGAUUUUAACUAUCUCAAUUUUCCCUGAUGGCACCUUACUGACUGUUUGGGAAAUUUUUAAUUAUUUAAAUUUUUAAUCACCUACUGUGUUCCAUAUAUAUGUAUAUAUAUAUACAUAUCCCAGCCUCGCCUCCGCGUUCGCCCUCGACGCCGUUGCCCUCGGAGGCGCUGUCCCGGCAUCGCUCGUCUGCCUAGCUCGCCGGCCAGGGGAUGCGUGGGCUAGAGUGCUUUGUCACAUGAGUGGGAAUAUGGAUAGGCUGUCAAUGUUACUGAUCUAUAUUCCUAUAAAUUAUGGUUUCCUUGUUUCAGUAUGCUACUAAAAGAAAUCAGGGUGCAUGGGAAGCAAGGAAAUCUAAUGCUACAUUUGGCAAUGAGGUUCCUUCUGUCUAAGUUGCAAGAUACAAAGUUGAUUUUUGAACUUCAAUCUGAUGAGUCUACUAAUUUUAUCCGGGUUGCUCAUUUGUCCAAACUGCUGCUCUUUUAAUGCGUUAAUCUAUGCUAUGUUCUAUUUCACUCUAGGAGCUUAGUUUGUAAAUAUUUAUUGUCGUAUUCAUUUCACUGUAUAGGGUUCUCUUGGAGCACUUAUGGAGGAAGUUGUCAUGUUUACUGUGUAUACUAAACAUAAAAAAAAGAUUUUUCUUCUGAUACUAUAAAAUAACUCUGAGCGUCUGGAAAUACAGUACUCAAAACGAUUACAGGGUGGAUGAGUGCUUCAACAUAUUUCAGAGGAACUACUCAAUUGUUGGAUCAUUCGGACAACCUUGUGAAAAGAAAGACACUUGGGAUGUUGUCUGAAACUGCCAGAGGAAACGGUUUGGUUCAGAACAAGCAAAUUAAAAGCACGAAAACUGAAGCAUAGCUCUGUUAUAACUGUGAUCAAAUUGGACAAGAGCUCUGGUCCAUAUUUCAGCAACUUGUGCUUAAAGAUUCUUGAAUUAAUUGACAGAGUGGUUGAUUUGGACACUUCAGUGAAAACGGGACACUUCAGUUAAAGUGUGACCACAUGUUAAUAGUACUUCAUUUUUCCUCUUUCAGGAGCAUUUGCAUUAUGAUGUGGUGAAGCGAUUCAAAUAAAUGUAUAUAAAAAUGGAGAUUUCAAUGUCUAAUAGAGAUGUAAAGGGUUUGCACUUUGGUAGACUAAAUUUCUCACCAGAAAUACAGAUGUUUAUUUACCAUGCA